GUGAGGAAUUUUCCGCAAUGGGCGAAAGCCUGACGGAGCAAUGCCGCGUGAAGGAUGAAGGCCUAUGGGUUGUAAACUUCUUUUCUCAGAAAAGAAUUAUGACGGUAUCUGAGGAAUAAGCAUCGGCUAACUCUGUGCCAGCAGCCGCGGUAAGACAGAGGAUGCAAGCGUUAUCCGGAAUGAUUGGGCGUAAAGCGUCUGUAGGUUGUUUAAAAAGUAUUCUGUCAAAGAUUAGGGCUUAACCCUAGAUAGGCAGAAUAAACUUUUAAGCUAGAGUUUGGUAGAGGCAGAGGGAAUUCCCGGUGGAGCGGUGAAAUGCGGAGAUAUCGGGAGGAACACCAAAGGCGAAGGCACUCUGCUGGGCCAAUACUAACACUGAGAGACGAAAGCGAGGGGAGCAAAUGGGAUUAGAAACCCUGGUAGUCC
rnacentral:rRNA from 1 species